rnacentral:tRNA from 1 species
CGGGGUGUCGGGGGAUCUGGUACCCCCACCCGGCUGUAGCCCGGGCGCCUUCGGGCAUUGCAGGUUCGAGUCCUGUCACCCCGA